rnacentral:rRNA from 1 species
UACGGAGGAGGCAAGCGUUAUCCGGAAUUAUUGGGCGUAAAGCGUGCGUAGGUGGUGAGUUAAGUCUGUCGUGAAAGCCCCGGGCUCAACCUGGGAAUGGCGAUGGAUACUGGCUCGCUAGAGUGCGGUAGAGGAGAGUGGAAUUCCCGGUGUAGCAGUGAAAUGCGUAGAGAUCGGGAGGAACAUCAGUUGCGAAGGCGGCUUGCCAGAACGCGCUCGACGGUGAGGGAUGAAAGCUGGGGGAGCAAACCGG